UACGAAGGGUGCAAGCGUUGUUCGGAAUGACUGGGCGUAAAGGGCGCGUAGGCGGUUUUGUACGUUUGAUGUGAAAGUCCUGGGCUUAACCUGGGGACGGCAUUUGAUACUGAUUGGCUUGAAUGCAGGAGAGGAUAGCGGAAUUCCCAGUGUAGAGGUGAAAUUCGUAGAUAUUGGGAAGAACACCGGUGGCGAAGGCGGCUAUCUGGACUGUGAUUGACGCUGAGGCGCGAAAGCGUGGGGAGCAAACAGG
rnacentral:rRNA from 1 species